UACGUAGGGGGCUAGCGUUGUCCGGAAUCAUUGGGCGUAAAGCGCGUGUAGGCGGUCCGGUAAGUCCGCUGUGAAAGUCGGGGGCUCAACCCUCGAAAGCCGGUGGAAACUGUCGGGCUAGAGUGCGGAAGAGGCGAGUGGAAUUCCUGGUGUAGCGGUGAAAUGCGCAGAUAUCAGGAAGAACACCCGUGGCUAAGGCGGCUCUCUAGUACGGUACUGACGCUGAGACGCGAAAGCGUGGGGAGCGAACAGG
rnacentral:rRNA from 1 species